rnacentral:rRNA from 2 species
UUUUGGCUCAGGCGAACGCUGGCGGCAGGCCUAACACAUGCAAGUCGAGCGGAUGAGUGGAGCUUGCUCCAUGAUUCAGCGGCGGACGGGUGAGUAAUGCCUAGGAAUCUGCCUGGUAGUGGGGGACAACGUUUCGAAAGGAACGCUAAUACCGCAUACGUCCUACGGGAGAAAGUGGGGGAUCUUCGGACCUCACGCUAUCAGAUGAGCCUAGGUCGGAUUAGCUAGUUGGUGAGGUAAAGGCUCACCAAGGCGACGAUCCGUAACUGGUCUGAGAGGAUGAUCAGUCACACUGGAACUGAGACACGGUCCAGACUCCUACGGGAGGCAGCAGUAGGAG